AGUGAACGUGUUAACGCGUCGAAUGUAAAGCCUUGAACGUUCUAGUCGUUAAGUCGUCAGACAGUAUCGUAACAGAAAAUGCGAGACGAGCGAGGAUACGCGAAUUGAUCGUUCGCGUAUACCAGUACCUUACUGCGCUGAUAGGUAAUUCUAGCUAUUUUCAAAUAGACAGUGUCAGAUUAUACGCACGGAAAGUUACAUGUUGAUAACGAUCGACGAUUCUCUGCGCACAAUGGGGACGAUACCAUCGUCGGCUACGAAUCGAUCGCAGAUAAUAAUCGACGAUUAUUUUAAACCGAACGGGAUAUCAGAUUCGAAACACGAUUUCGAAGUGAACCACCACUUUCGAGUAAAACCGUGCAAGUAGACGACGCAGUUUUCGAUGCCGCGAAUUUAUCAGCCACGUUAUUGGAUCAUAUUGUAUGUUCUGUCAACAAUUGUAUUUAUCUCAGUAACGUAACAAGAAACGCAAUUAGCGGUAAUUUCGUAGAACUUGAACCGUUCAUUGCUCCAAGGGACGUUUCUCGUAUAACACAGAGCCAAAACUAUUUUCAUGUGUGUUUCGUAAUAUUUAUUGAGCGAUUAACCGGCGCCGCUUGAAAAACGCUUGAAGAAGAUAAGCCGGCUACCCAAUUUCUUGAGAAACGAAGUCUGUGGGAACGAACAGGAAAUCCGAUAUCUAUAUAGUGUAACAUUACCCCGGUUGUUCUGUUUGUGUCACAUGCUGCGCUUACGUAAGUACGAAUGCAUCGCUGGAAACAUCCUUGAAAACGUGCUGUAAAGGAAAUUUAUCUCGUAUCCGCCAAUGGAAUGAGUUUCCACGUUGGCAUUGUCGUUCGUCAUUAGCAAAGAAGAUGCCAGGGACAUUCUCCCAGCUGCCUACUAAUGCGCCGCGAACCGGCCAUAUGGACUAGACGAUUAAUUGAAUAAGAGCCAACUCUGAUACCUCUUGAUUCCCGCGUUCUUCUCGCUGUUACUCGAGAGCACGAACGACCUGGAAUUCGCGCAACUAGAAGCUAAACGAUAAAGCCUUUUCCGAGACACUUUUUGUUCAACCAAAUUCCCAUUAACUAUCCGCGAUUUUAUUUACA